CCUACGGGGAGCAGCAGUGGGGAAUAUUGGACAAUGGGCGAAAGCCUGAUCCAGCCAUGCCGCGUGUGUGAAGAAGGCCUUCGGGUUGUAAAGCACUUUCAGUGGGGAAGAAAGCCUUGGGGCUAAUACCCUCGAGGAAGGACAUCACCCACAGAAGAAGCACCGGCUAACUCCGUGCCAGCAGCCGCGGUAAUACGGAGGGUGCGAGCGUUAAUCGGAAUUACUGGGCGUAAAGCGCGCGUAGGCGGUCUGAUAAGCCGGUUGUGAAAGCCCCGGGCUCAACCUGGGAACGGCAUCCGGAACUGUCAGGCUAGAGUGCAGGAGAGGAAGGUAGAAUUCCCGGUGGAGCGGUGAAAUGCGUAGAGAUCGGGAGGAAUACCAGUGGCGAAGGCGGCCUUCUGGACUGACACUGACGCUGAGGUGCGAAAGCGUGGGUAGCAAACAGGAUUAGAUACCCCAGUAGUA
rnacentral:rRNA from 1 species